CAGAUCACCAAGGGAGAGAAAUGACACAGGCCACAGCCCAGAGGGCAGGGUGGCCCGGGCAGAAGUCAGGCCUUUCUCUUCUUUACUGAUCUCUUCUUUACUGAUCACGUGAAAUCUCCACCUGGCUCACAACUUGGCAAAACUCUUCCUUCUUGGGACUGAGUGAGAGGUGAGUUCAGUCUGACCCGGGCUUGUCAGUAGAGCCUGACGAAAGAAAAUGCAUCAGAAGGAAGGAACGAUGUCUCCCUGAAUAGCCAGCUUGGCCCACAGAUCGCUGGCCAGAUUGCAUCGACCCUAAGCAGUCCCGACGUCUGAGCUAAUCAAGAUGGGAGUUCUAGGCGACAAGUGAGAACACACAGCUGUGGGAUCCCACAUGCUGUGCAACCUCCCUGGGCUUCAGAGACCUCAUGCCCCCUAUAUCCAUCAGGAUGGUAUAAUUACAUCCAGCAGCUGCACACACUGCCUGGA